UGGUUGUGCAUAUGAGAGCUGAGAAAGAGGCAGCAGCUGAGCUUGAGAGGCAGGUAAAGCAGCAUGGAGACACCGCUGAAGAAGGACCAGGAAACUGGGGCAUAGAUGCAGAAGGUGGGCAGCAGAGCAGAGGAUGCUCCAGUGCAUGCAGGCACUGACCAUUUACCCCAGGCCGAGCUCUGUCCUCAUGGAACACCAGAGCUGGCUGGAGAGCAGCAGGCUGGGACAGGAUUUGGCCUGCAGAGCAGAGAGGGGGGUUUGCAGCAUUGGCAACAACAUGCUGUGAUUCAAGAGCGAUCCUUUAAACAAGGUUAUUACUCACUUUACCAGGCACAGCUAUCCAUUAUGGUUAAUAGAACACCACAUAAGUGAUUCUCAGCCCGAUCCAAACAAUAUAUCUUGCGGCCCAGCUGGACUCGCUUUUAUUCUUACCUCUCACUGGAGGAUGUGUUGGCAUCAGCAGACAUGGAGAUGCUGGUACCUGAUAGUGUGGACAGCCAAGAUCUGCUGCUUUCCAAGGGGAUGAGUGAUGUGAGCUGUUGGAUGGGAAGCAGUUGCCACCUCCCUGCCAUGUCCUUCUCCGAAGGACAGGAUCCAUGUUGGCCAUGGUGCAGUGGAAAGAAGCCUGUCUGGGUUGCCUGUACUCGCUCCAUAACAAGAGGGUGGCCUCUCGAUAGACUAUACUUCAUGCUUUCCAUCACUAUAGCUGCUGUUUUGGCUGCAUGAAGGGUGAUGUCUCACUGCCCUGGAGCAGAUGAGGUUUGCAGGCUGGGGACGGGGAGAAGGACCAGCUUGGGCUGCAAGAGGAAGGCUUUGUCCUGACAAUCCUGCUGGAAAUGAAGUCCAGGGAUUUGCUGUGGAGAUGCGCCUGAUGCAAGGCUGGUGACAGGGCUCCCUUCAGGACAGGAAUCAGUAAUCAGCCAUCCUGCCUGCACACUGUCCCUGUAUCCAGCACUGUGCCUGUCCUGCAAGGCUCUGGGAGCAGCUCAAGUAGCACCAGGGCAGCAGCAGGGGCCAUUCCCUGCCAGGAUGUGAUUAUCCCACAAACAAGGAGCUUGUGGUACCCACCUGCACUAGAGCAGCCAGCACUGGCUCUGGGCAUGCUGGUGGCUGGCUGGGGGCUCUGCUCCAUGCCAGCCAUCUGGAAUCUUCAUGAGACACCAUGUUUGGUUAUCACCAUGACACAACAAAUCCUAGCAGAGUAUUAAUCACUGCUUGGAACAGCAUCCACCCUAGGUUUAGUUAUGGUAAGCUACGCCAGGCCUUGUCUGACAGUGUGUAGCCAUCUGAAGAGCCCAGAUUCCAGGCAUUUUCCAAGCUUUUUCUCCCUUCUCUCAUAGGCAAUGUGUGCCAUUCACAUCUCAGAGUGCUCUGCUGGAACACCACCCAUAGCCUGGUUAUGCUGUAGUGUGGGAACAUCAGAUGGUGCAGGUGAGGUGCCCUCAUGUGUGAGUCUCGUUUUGGUGGGUGAAAAUGGUCAAUGUGGUGAUGCUGGGGGGGGAGAUGGGGCUUUGAUGGGUGAAUUCUGUGACUUCCCUACAUCUGCAUUCAGAGAAGGGAGUGAUGGGGAGGGGCAUGUCGGGAUCAGUGCCUGGACUGCUGGCUGCUGGUGUGGGAUACAGGCAGCAUCAGAAACACCAAACUGCAGGAUGCUGCUAACCAGUAUCAGUGAGGAUCCAGAGCCAGUAUCCCAAAUGCAAGCACCUUGGUGGGAUGUGGGAUGGAGCUGGCGCCUGGCCCUGUG